rnacentral:lncRNA from 1 species
UGUUGGGGGAAUUGUCUUAAUGGUGGUGGGUUGACACUCAGAGGAGGGCUUUCCCUUCUCAAAAGGGAAAAGGACGGUGGGAUAGGAGGAUGACUUGCAUGAGGGGGUGCUGCAAGGAAAGGGCUAAUAUUGGGUUGUAAAGUGAAUACAUAAAUUUAAAAUUAAUGAUGAUGAUGAUGAUGAUGAUGAUGAUGAUGAUGGGCUAGUUUGAUGGUUGUGGUGGCACAUACCUUUAAUCUCACACUCAGAAGGCAAGGCAGGCAGUUCUCUGUGAGUCCGAGGCCAAUCUGGCCUACAUAAUGAGUUCCAAGACAGCCAGUGCUAUAUAGUGAGACCCUAUCUAAAAUAAUAAUUACAACAACAACAGUAGUAAUAAUAAAUGUACAAAAUACAACUGAGCCCAGCACCUUUGCUAAUGAGAUAAUAGUUUUAUUGACUAUGUGUUCCAGCCUUGUCUCCCACAAUGGUUGAUAGCAGAAGCUUCGCUCAGCCUCACCCAUUGGCUGUCCUGGAGGGUGAUCCUCAAUAUCUUGAGCUUCCUGUGGCCCAGAAUGUCCUGUCCUUUCUUCAUCAUGAUAAGCUCACCUUUGCCAAGCCCUGCUUGCCAGUUACCUUCUCUCUGAAGCAACGGAAAACCAGCAAUUCAAUAAUCCAGUGACCUUUCUCCUAGGACUCCUCAUAAUGUGUCAUUUUUACAUUAGUUCCCACUGCAUUUUUUUUCAAUACUAAGGUGUAAACAUAGGGCCUCUCCUAUGCUAAGCAAGCACUCAACCACUGGGCUACACAAUCAGCUCUUUUCUUUGUUUAUAUUUUAUGAUAAGAUCCCACUAAGUUGUCCAAGCUGCCCUUAAACUCACUUGGUAUCCCAGGCUGGCCCUGAACUUCCAAUCCCCCUACAAAUUAAAUGAAAACUUGCAAAUGAAAGGCAAGAUUACUGCAACUUUGGAGCCAGGUAGGGAAGGACACAGGGACAGGAGGUAGAGGAGUAGGAGGGGGAAGAAAAGAAGAAAAAGAAAGAAGGAAAGAAAGAAAGAAAGGAAAGAAGAAUGGAAGAAAGAGAGGGAGGGAAGGAAGGAGGAAGGAGGAAAGGAAAAAGAAAAGAGAGGAAGAAGGGAAGAGGGAAAUGUUCUGGCCCAGUGUUACUGGUAGUCUGGAUCGAGGCUGAAUGUUUCUAAAUUCUCGUCUUCUAAUCCACAGAAUUAAAACAACUACACGCAAUUUGCAGAAGAAGCAAAAUCGCAUUACUUGGAUAAAGCAGUGGUACAGGCCAUGGAAGUGAUGGAGACGUCAAGAUCACAGAGAGUCGCAUGACUAUAAGAACCCAAGAGCUGGAGCCUGGGCUCUUCUACGAAGCCUGGGGGAAGAACAGUUCAUUGCUAAAGGAGGUCUCUUUAUGUAUGCCUGACUGUCCUGGAACUCACUACGUAAACCAGCCUGGCCUCAAACCCACUGUGAUCCUCCCAUCUCUGCCUAAUUUUAGGAUCCAAGGCAUGUGCCACCAUGUCAAGAACUCUUCUGUACUUUCAAC